GAAAGAAGCUUUGUAUGGCUUGACAGAACUUUUGAGAGAGGAAGUCAAAAGUGCUCGUCUAGUUGUUAUCCAACAUCCAUUCAGCUUCCUCUUGUUCCCUUGAUUAAGGACAUCAUUGUGGCCAAGGAUUAUUUGAAGCAAAGAGGAGUUGACAGAAAAUCAAGAGGAUUAGUACCUUGUAUUCAUAUGCCAAUGUAUCAACCAAAAAGCCAUUUCCCAGGAUUUGAAAUUCCAAAACACACAAAAAAUCACAGUGAAUUCAAUUCUAGAGAGAGAGAGAGAGAGAGAGAGAGAUGGAGGCAAAAAAGAGGGGUCGUCGCUGGACGAUCUGAUGUCAUCGUUCAACACUCGCAUUGCAGAGCUUCAAGAGCUCGUCGUUGCACGAAACAUGUACCCGGCCACAAGUAUCACUGAUUUGUCGGCGGUGGACAUCGCAUUGAAGGCCAUGGAGCUUCAGCUUCAGGCUAUCAAGGAGCGGUUGCUCGAAGAAACGCUAGCUAUUCCCAAAGCCAAAGAGAAAAAGGGCCGUGGCUCUCCACCAUUGUGGUAUAUAACUGCCAAUGAGCUGGAUUCUCUGUCAUCAUACAUGAGAGGACGGCUGACAUGAGAGGACUGCAGAUCCAUAAAAUUUCUAGCUCUAUGUUCAAAGCUUAAAGAAUUGCCUAGAGACAUGAAAGAAUUAGUCAAUCUCAGGCAUCUUGAGAUAGAUGGAUGUGAACGGUUGACUUAUAUGCCACGUGGAUUGGGGCUACUCACUAAUCUCCAGACGUUAUCAAACUUUGUGGUCCACAAGGAUUCUCUCUCUCAGCAUAGCAGUGGGUUAAAAGAACUAGAGGGACUAAAUAACCUGAGAGGAUACUUAAGUAUUGAAAAUCUGAGACAUGGAAAAGAUGGUGUGGCAGAAUGUAAGGAAGCAAAUUUGAAAGAGAAACAACAUCUUUAUGGUUUGUUUUUAUUGUGGAGUAUUGAAAGAGGUGUCAAUGCUUCAGGCGUUAAUGUUGAUGAUGAGACGUUAUUGGAAGUCCUCCAACCGCAUCCACAUCUAAAAGUGCUUGGGUUAUCAAACAAUUGGGGUUCAAGGCUUCCAAGUUGGCUUUUGUCACUCACAAAUCUUGUUACAUUUCAAUUAUAUAGGUGUACGAAAUGCCAAUCCCUACCACCAUUGAGUCAACUGCCUUCUCUCAAAGAUCUUGAGCUUUACACAAUGAAUGCUAUGGAGUACAUAUCAGACAGUGGUGACAGCAAUGAGUUCUCUUCUUUUUUCCCAUCUCUCAAGAGAAUCGAACUCUCUUUUUGCCAUAAUCUCAAGGGGUGGAGGAGGAGGAGGGAUUCUUCUGUGCAGGUCAAUAGUGAUAGUCAUAAUUCCAUUGAAAAUACAGAGCAUCCUUUACUCCCUUCCUUUCCUUGUCUCUCAGAAUUACAAAUCAUGUGUUGCCCUAUGUUGACUUCCAUGCCAACGUUUCCACAUCUUGAAGAGUUGAGCCUAGAUGGUACUAGCUUGAAGCCCCUGCAACAGACAAUGAUGAUGAAUAUGGGAGCACCGUAAAGCCCAACGUCAACUGUUGAGGAUGAGAUGCAAUGGCAAGGUCUUAAGGGCCUCCUCUCUUUGAAUUUUUCACUUGUUCCAAAAUUGGUCUCUCCCGUUGGGCCUUCAACAUGGGACCACAAUACAAAAGCUCGAUUUCAGAUUGUGAAAACUUGACGGCUAUACCAGAGUGGAUUCGCAACUGCACAUCACUUCAAGUGCUUAAAAUUGAUGGAUGCUCCAGUUUGACAUCACUGCCCGAAGGAAUGCAUAGCCUAACGUCUUUGCAAGGCUGGAAAUUAAAAACUGUCCCAUCUUAUUGCAAAGAUGCGAGAGAGAAGCGGGUGAGGAUUUGAAUUUAGGUACAGAAGAAACAGAGGAUUUGGAUUCAGGUACAGAAGUAGCAGACCCAGCUAAAGAAAAGAAGAAACAGAGAAUUUGGAGCAUAUUAAAAAAAAUCUAGGGCGCUCAAUUCCUGAUUCUUCACAUAUCAGGAGAAACAAUUAGCCUCUAUUCUUGCUCUUCCCACCACUUCUCUGCUGUCAUCUCAAACAGAAGACAGUCAACGAUGGCUUUUCUGUUAUGAAAAAUUUAUCACCCUGUAAACGAUUAGCUGGUGGCUCCAAAAGAGUUCAGGUUCCUCAUUUUCUCAGUGCACAGAUAAAGCUGAAAAAACAUGUUUUACUGCAACCAGUGUUUAGAAAUUGGCAGGGUCAGUGUAAUGUUCCUGUGAGUUGAUCACACAUGUUCUUUGGACUUCUGUACAUGGUUCAAUUUCGUGUGUUAAUGUUAUGUUAG